UUGGUGUACUCCCAGUUAAUUGAUUUUUGCAUUUUUUGGCCUGUGCUUUUGGAGUCAUAGUCAAAAGCUGUUGCACAACUUUACUGAAAGUAAGGAAUAAUAAAGAUACAUUUCAGCCUUUGCCCUGGAGGAGAUCUCUUUCACAUUUUUCAGAAUUCUGUCGCCGGGCGCGGUGGCUCAAGCCUGUAA